rnacentral:rRNA from 1 species
GGAAUAUUGGUCAAUGGGCGCGAGCCUGAACCAGCCAAGUAGCGUGCAGGAUGACGGCCCUAUGGGUUGUAAACUGCUUUUAUGCGGGGAUAAAGUGCGGCACGCCUGCCGUUUUGUAGGUACCGCCUGAAUAAGGACCGGCUAAUUCCGUGCCAGCAGCCGCGGUAAUACGGAAGGUCCGGGCGUUAUCCGGAUUUAUUGGGUUUAAAGGGAGCGCAGGCCGGAGGUCAAGCGUGACGUGAAAUGUACCGGCUCAACCGGUGAGUUGCGGCGCGAACUGGCUUUCUUGAGUGCGUACGAGGAAGGCGGAAUUCGUGGUGUAGCGGUGAAAUGCUUAGAUAUCACGAAGAACUCCGAUUGCGCAGGCAGCCUUCCAGUCCGUUACUGACGCUAAAGCUCGAAGGUGCGGGUAUCGAACA